rnacentral:lncRNA from 1 species
AUGAGCGCUGCUGUCUGGUCAGUCUGCAAAGUAGGAACUGCAGAUAAAUACAGAAAUUAUGAAACAUCUGCUUUUAAGAAGUCAUCUGUUUGCAGAGUCUGGGUAAAACCUGGAGAAGGAACAUGGGACCACAAAGUACCAAAGAAGGGAAAACCGUCCUCGAUGAAGAGAUUUGACCAAGUAAGGAGUUCUGUGUGUCAGACAAAGACUUGCCAACGUUUGUGGUGAAAUAAUCUGCUCUGUUUGGAGACUGCAGGAAAAAUCCUUUCUGUACAGCUGAAACGUUGCCUGCUGUUUGGUGUUCCACCUCAGCCCAUGUGCAAGCAGAAGGGCCAGCAGUGCAGGGCUGUGGCCUGCAGGACUGAUGGGGGUCUGGCAGUGAGGUGGCCCACGGCACUGUGGUGUGGGUUGAGCUGUCCUGGUGGAGUGCCAUCCUGUGCAUGGUUCUGUGCAGCCAUACCCCCAUGUUUGGCACCUGGGAUUUUUACCGUGAGCAGCAUUUAAUAUUUCGUACAAUCCCAUGUCUUGUCUGAGAGAGGCAGAAUUUCAGCCUUCGUGUAAAACAAAGCUUUCAGUCUUCUGGGUUGCAGGAGAAAACUUGGAAACACAGGGCCAGCUGUCAAAGUGCCAACCACUUGUCACUUGUAACUUCACUACCUUAAACACGUUACAGAAAAUAGCAUUAUUGAGACCUGUCUGGGUGGUGCUUUGUGUUCCCCUGCACCUCCCUGGUAAAUGAGGUGUCCUUUUGUUUCCACACAUUAAGGAAUGUGUUACUCAUCCCUGUUUGACCUUAGCGAGAUGAAGUUAGAGCGCUGUGUGUGCAGUGCCUCAUGACUGUGUUCCUUCCAGUUGGGUCAAACGAGACAAAUUUUAGAUCUUAAGCGCACGGCUAAAUUUACCCAGUUCUGCAUACUUGAUUUGGCAAAACCAUAUGGACUUUUUGAUACAUUCCUCGGAGCUCUUCUGAAUCCGUUUCAAAAGUCUCUGUUCACGAAGCGUACCCACUGUUCAGUAGGAGGUGUAGAAGAACAGCGCCUAUUUUAGGCGGAAGAUUUCCUGCGUGCCUCAGGCCAGCUAACACGAAGCCAUCACCCAAAGCAGCCAUGAGGGCUGGCCCUGUCCCCUGCCUGGGCUCCAUCAGCACACAGGCUGAGCCCUCUGGAGCAGGCCCUCGGAUCUGAUCUCUAAUCCCCUCUGCGAGGAGGAUGUGAGGCUGGAGGGGAGGAGGAGGAGUUGAGGCACUGGGGAUGGUCUCAGGUCAGCUUUAGCUACUUGU